CUUGAACACUCAAAGAAAAAUCUGCCUGCUCUGAAUAUUGCCUGAGGAUUUAGAAAGGUCUUUCUUGGAAACAGAAGAAUGAGAUGAAACAAUCAUCUGUAAAGCAUGAAAAAAGAGAAAGAAGAUCCAGGAGAUGAACUGGAGCUGAGCUGACCAUAGACUUUGUCCAAGGAGUAGAAUGCGCCUAAAAAUCUUGCUGUCUCUCUGACGGGCCUUAUUAGCACUCGGAGGAGCUGGCGUGAGUUGGAUGGCAGUAACGCAUGCUGUUGUGCUGCACUAGAAAUCUCAGCUCGUGGAGAAGGAGAUGUCAAAGCUGGCCUUGGGAUAGAUCUGCUGGAUGUCC